rnacentral:rRNA from 1 species
UACGAAGGGGGCUAGCGUUGCUCGGAAUCACUGGGCGGAAAGCGCACGUAGGCGGAUUGCUAAGUCAGGGGUGAAAUCCUGGAGCUCAACUCCAGAACUGCCUUUGAUACUGGCGACCUUGAGUCCGGGAGAGGUGAGUGGAACUGCGAGUGUAGAGGUGAAAUUCGUAGAUAUUCGCAAGAACACCAGUGGCGAAGGCGGCUCACUGGCCCGGUACUGACGCUGAGGCACGAAAGCUAGGGUAGCGAACGGG